AACAUCACCGUGUCUGUCAUUUGCUCCUCCUGUCUUUUUAAUGUUUCACUUGGAAAGUAGACAGAGGAGUGCGGUUGAAAGCAAGGGAGGGGUAAAAGGUGAUCAGCCACCAGGACAUCAAAGCGGAUGUCACAUAAAACAAAAGAUAAGAAUGGUUUAAACCAAUGAGCAUCAAGCAGCCAGGCAUGAUCAUACUUUAUGUGACUGACAAAACAACCAGUUUAACAGGUUUUUAUAGCCUUUAUAAAUUAUUCCAUUGCAUAUUCAUCAUUUACAAACUGAUGACAGACUUAGCCGUGGUCAUACCAUCCACGAUGGGUUCAAAUACACAAGUUUACGGGUUAAGAAAAUAUGUAUUUUUUACAUGUUCGAUUUGGAUUACAUUCUGCCUGAGUUUAUGGCAAAUGAAUUGUUUCCAAAUUAGAAAGUUUCACCUCCCUGCCCCUAAACAAAUUCUAC